GCCGCCGUAGCUCAGCGGGUAGAGCGCCGGGCUGUUAACCCGGUGGUCGGUGGUUCGAAUCCACCCGGCGGCGCCA
rnacentral:tRNA from 6 species